rnacentral:rRNA from 1 species
AGUGAACGCUGGCGGUGUGCCUAAUACAUGCAAGUCGAGCGACCAGACGAUAAGCUUGCGCCCCUGACGUUAGCGACUGACGGGUGAGUAACACGUAGAUCACCUACCUCUAUUUCUGGGGUAAUUUCGUGAAACAGGUGCUACUACUGCCUAACAUGUCGUACGGCUUGAUUCAGCAGUGAAUGACGCUCUUGCUGACACUUAUAGAUGGUUCCGCGCCGCAUUAGCUAGUUGGUAAGGUAACGGCUUACCAAGGCAACGAUGCGUAGCCGACCUGAGAGGGUGAUCAGCCACACUGGAACUGAGACACGGUCCAGACUCCUACGGGAGGCAGCAGUAGGGAAUAUUGCGCAAUGGGCGAAAGCCUGAUGGAGCAAUGCCGCGUGAGUGAAGAAGGUCUUCGGGUCGUAAAGCCCUGUUGUUGGGGAAGAAAAAAAGUGUGAUAAACCACGGACGUUUUGACGGUACCUAAAGAAAAAGCCACGGCUAACUUCGUG